CGGCGAUUAAAUGUCUCACAGCUUAGACACCUUGAGGGGGGAAAAGACUGAGGAAGAGAAAAGGGAGAGAGAGAGAUUAAGUUGAGGAGGGAGGGAGGCAGAGGGAGGCCCCUCAUGAGAAAGAAAUAUGGGAAAAGGUGGGUGUUCUUUCCUCCUGACGACUGACAGCUCUGUUGUUGCUUCUGCAGUGGUCCGAAUAACUGAGACCAGAGGGCUCUGAGGGCGUGACUGGCCGGCCGGCUGGCACCGCUAACCUUGCGGGCGCUUGUGGAGCUUCUCAACCUCGAAAACAUUUGAGCACAUUUUCGAUUCGCCAUCAACUUUCAUAAAACUGCCAAUAUUCAAAUCCUACAAAGUUGAUUUCUUGCCUCAAAACCGCUCAAAAGUGUAUUUAGUGACGAAAUAGUUUACAAAACUUUCUGCCGUUAGCUUCUUUCUCCAUUGCUUUCCGCCCCUUGCAUGAAAGCAGAGUAGUCUUGGCAGACAGUGGAAGUGAUACUAGCAUCCUUAGCAUUCCAUGUAGUGCAUUGCUGUUGCACAACCAGAAAUGUUCUUGUAUGUAUGUAAUGUAUCUCUCCCUUAAACAGCAUCUCUGUAAUGACUUGUGAAAAUGAAUGAAUAUGAAAUUUCACGUCAAGUUUUUAUAAUCGACGUCGUCCAUUACGUCGACUAAUCGUUGCAGCCCUAAUUCUUUGUAAUCUGUGUCUCUUCCCAUUUCAUGUUCACACAGUUCAUGUUGACCUCUCAUAGGUCGCAUGAAGCCAGCAAGCCCUGUCUGAUAGGAUUACAGCAGUAAGCGCUUGUAUUUGCAAGUAGCUGUAUCUGGCUGUU